UGUAGUUGCCCAUGGAAGCCCAAAGAGGCACGAUGGCCAUGCCCAGGGCCACAGCCGAGGGCACAAGCGUGUAGUAGCGCUCCCAGUAGUUGGUGGAGACAAAGAGGGCGUAGAUGCCCACAGCGAGGAACAUCAUCCACUUCAUGAGCACAGGUGUGUAGAGCAGGGCGGCGAUGGGAGUCACGUUGAUGCCCAUCAGCAUUUUGCUGUCGAUGUCGGGCAGCCCCAUGUUGCCAUACUUCACCUCGCGGUAG
rnacentral:lncRNA from 1 species